AACGAACGCUGGCGGCAGGCUUAACACAUGCAAGUCGAACGCAUCCUUCGGGGUGAGUGGCAGACGGGUGAGUAACGCGUGGGAACGUGCCCUUCAGUUCGGGAUAACCCAGGGAAACUUGGGCUAAUACCGGAUACGUGCGAGAGCAGAAAGAUUUAUCGCUGAAGGAUCGGCCCGCGUCUGAUUAGCUAGUUGGUGGGGUAAUGGCCGACCAAGGCGACGAUCAGGAGCUGGUCUGCGAGGAUGAUCAGCCACAUUGGGACUGAGACACGGCCCAAACUCCUACGGGAGGCAGCAGUGGGGAAUAUUGGACAAUGGGCGCAAGCCUGAUCCAGCCAUGCCGCGUGAAUGAUGAAGGCCUUAGGGUUGUAAAGCUCUUUCGUCCGGGACGAUAAUGACGGUACCGGAAGAAGAAGCCCCGGCUAACUUCGUGCCAGCCGCCGCGGUAA
rnacentral:rRNA from 1 species